rnacentral:rRNA from 1 species
CUUUGCAAGAAUAAAAAUAAAUUCAAAUCCCGAAAUCUAGUGAGCUGAUCGCAGUUUGUUAAGAACCCAAUGAAUAGUGUAGCAGUACUAUCACAAAAACUCCAACCAGCGGCUACAUACCUCUCGCACUAGAUGAUAUCUGGUUUUUCAUCAAACCAGUUUAAGCUGAUAAAGUUGACCCACUCACUCAACUCCACAAAUAAGUAAAGGACAAGCUCUACUUACACCUAUCUUAUUUUCUCAACCAUAAUAAAACCAAGUAGGCCUAAAAUCAGCCACCAACCACCUCGUUACAGAGAAACCAAACCCCCAUUCCACAAUAAAUAUAUCCAAUAAUGAAAUAAUUCUCCAAACUUAAAGACGAUUCACCAAUGCAAAGAUCAGUAUUUAUUCUCUAUCCCUUACACCCUCCCACCAUAACAUUUAAAGAAGGAACUCGGCAAACAACUUUAAUCCGCCUGUUUAACAAAAACAUCGCCUGUAGACAAUGAAAUUACAGGUACAUCCUGCCCGGUGACUAUUUAAACGGCUGCGGUAUCCUGACCGUGCAAAGGUAGCAUAAUCAUUUGCCCCCUAAUUAGGGGCUAGCAUGAAUGGACAAACGAGAUUACCCCUGUCUCCUCUAAACCUCUAAAAAUUAAUCUACAGGUGAAGAAGCCUGUAUAAAUGUAAAAGACAAGAAGACCCUGUCGAGCUUUAAUUAUAUAUGAACUAAUGUAACCCAAAUACUCUCUCUCAUAUAUAAUAUUUGUUGGGGCGACAACGGAAAACACGAAACCUCCGUAUAGUUACAAGACUCUAAGUCUCUCCAAAGAUCCCCCAAAGGACAACCAGCACCAGCUACCGCAGGGAUAACAGACUAAUCCUCUCUAAGAGCCCAAAUCUACGAGAGGGCUUGGCACCUCGAUGUUGGCUUAGGAAUACACUUAAAUGCAGAAGUUUAAGAUGCAGGUUUGUUCAACCUUUAAUUUCCUACAUGAG